AUGACUGAUAUUUUUGCUUAUUUGUUAGGUCUUGGUGGUGGUGGUAAUCAGGCGGGUAAGGCCGGCAAGGGCGGCCCGAUCCCUCAGGAGGCCAUCCAGCGGCUGCAGGACACGGAGGAGAUGUUAAGCAAGAAACAGGAGUUCCUGAAGAAGAAAAUCGAGCAGGAGCUGACUGCUGCCAAGAAGCAGGGCACCAAAAACAAGCGCGCGGCCCUCCAGGCACUGAAGCGUAAGAAGAGGUAUGAGAAGCAGCUGGCGCAAAUCGACGGCACAUUAUCAACCAUCGAGUUCCAGCGGCAGGCCCUGGAGAAUGCCAACACCAACAACGAGGUGCUCAAGAACAUGAGCUGUGCCGCCAAGGCCAUGAAGGCGGCACAUGACAACAUGGACAUCGAUAAAGUUGAUGAGUUAACGCAGGACAUUGCUGACCAUCAAGAAUUUGCGGAGGAGAUUUCAACAGCAAUUUUGAAACCUGUAGGGUUUGGAGAGAAGUUUGACGAGGAUGAGCUCAUGGUGGAAUUAAGAACUAGAACAGGAGGAACUAGACAAAAAUUUGCUGGAAAUCAGUGGACCCGAAACAGUCCCUCUACCAAGUGUUCCCUCUAUAGCCCUACCAUCAAAACCCGCCAAGAAGAAAGAAGAGGAAGACGACGACAUGAAGGAUUUGGAGAAGUGGGCUGGGUCCAGCGCGGGCAGGAUGGAUGUGGUGCAGGCAGGUUCCAUCGCUCUCGACUCUCACUCCAAAGCAGUGGGAUCGCAUUGCUGCUCGCUCUCUGCAUAGCAUGAUCUGCACCUGGUGGGACGGGCGGGGGCGGAUGGAGGAGAGGGGCAGUGGGGGGGAAGUGCCUGCUGUUUAUAAUGUUGAAUUUCUGUAAAAUAAACUGUUUGCAAAUCCAAA